rnacentral:rRNA from 1 species
GACGAACGCUGGCGGCGUGCUUAACACAUGCAAGUCGAACGGAAAGGCCCUGCUUUUGUGGGGUGCUCGAGUGGCGAACGGGUGAGUAACACGUGAGUAACCUGCCCUUGACUUUGGGAUAACUUCAGGAAACUGGGGCUAAUACCGGAUAGGAGCUCCUGCUGCAAGGUGGGGGUUGGAAAGUUUCGGCGGUUGGGGAUGGACUCGCGGCUUAUCAGCUUGUUGGUGGGGUAGUGGCUUACCAAGGCUUUGACGGGUAGCCGGCCUGAGAGGGUGACCGGCCACAUUGGGACUGAGAUACGGCCCAGACUCCUACGGGAGGCUGCAGUGGGGAAUAUUGCACAAUGGGCGGAAGCCUGAUGCAGCAACGCCGCGUGCGGGAUGACGGCCUUCGGGUUGUAAACCGCUUUCGCCUGUGACGAAGCGUGAGUGACGGUAAUGGGUAAAGAAGCACCGGCUAACUACGUG